UACGUAGGGGGCAAGCGUUGUCCGGAAUCAUUGGGCGUAAAAGCGCGCGUAGGCGGUCAGGUAAGUCCGGUGUGAAAGUCAAAGGCUCAACCUUUGAAUGCCGCUGGAUACUGCCUGACUUGAGUCCGGAAGGGGCGAGUGGAAUUCCUGGUGUAGCGGUGAAAUGCGCAGAUAUCAGGAGGAACACCAAUGGCGAAGGCAGCUCGCUGGAACGGUACUGACGCUGAGGCGCGAAAGCGUGGGGAGCGAACAGG
rnacentral:rRNA from 1 species